rnacentral:miRNA from 1 species
GGGGAGCUGUGGAAGCGGUA